rnacentral:misc_RNA from 1 species
AAGUCGUAACAAGGUAACCGUAGGUGAACCUGCGGUUGGAUCAUUAUAGAAAUGAUUACUUUUUAUUGAGGGAUUUCUUAUGGAAGUAAGAAUCACUCUUUACCCCAAAAAAUUAUGUUGUUAUGUUUUACCUUGGAAUUAUCUCUUUGAUUAUAGUAGAUUUAUUCUGCUAUAGUCAUUUAGAGUGGUUCCAAAUAUUUAUUUUAUAAACAUUUAAUUCUUUUUAUCUUUUUUUUUAAAAUAAUUAAAAAAAAACAACUUUUGACAAUGGAUCUCUUGGCUCUU